rnacentral:SRP_RNA from 1 species
GCCGGGCGUGGUGGCUCAUGCCUGUAAUCCCAGCAAUUUGGGAGGCCGAGUCGGGUGGAUCACCUGAGGUCAGGAGUUCGAGACCAGCCUGGCCAACAUGGUGAAACCCCGUCUUUA